AUGUCCUCCCCUCAUCUAUUUGGAAUUCAUGGAGCUUUGAGUGAUCAAAGCUGGCUUGCUAUUACCAACAUGUGAAUUCUUCAGCUGCCUUAUAUCCGUGGGCUGCUUCCAUGAACUUUGUCUUGGAAUUGGUGCCACGGAGCAAAUGAAAAUGUGGUAACGGCACAAGAUUCAUAAAGGAGUUAUUCUCAAAAUGUGGAUGUAAUUCAUGGAGAUCAUGUUAUUCCGAAGACAUCAUUGGUACGUGCUUCCAGUGAUUUGGAAAAUGCAUAAGGGAGAGAGAGUACCAUCAUUAAGAUUGGAAGAGACCAUGAGGGAUAUCAUUAAGAAGUUAGAAGGUCGGUUUCCAUGGACGAUUCACGUGGGAACCGUGUUUUAGUUGCAGAUUUUAUUCGCAUGAAUGACGAGUACUCCUGCAUUGCGUUAUGAGUCCAGUUGCAACGAAGAGAUCAUUUUCAAGAAAGAAGAAAACUCAGCAAAAGCCGAGUAGCAAUGGGGUUGGUUUGGAAGAUUGCUUGGUUACCUAUAAUAUCACGAAUAGCACAAGCUUGGUGGACUAAUGUACAUGGUUUUAAUGGUUUUCUGGUUAAAGCUUUCUUUGGUUUAGAUUAUUAUUGUUUUUAAUUAUAAUUGUUCACAUCAAUGCUUUUCUUAGUAAGUCUUAUUCAGGAAUUGUUGGAGUUUUCUGUGAAGCUUUCUUUUCAGUGGAAUUUCAAGAAAAGCAGAGAGGACAUAAAGAAGGCAGAGAGAAAAAGGAAUCAAACUCUAACAAGAAUGUUGCCAAGGCUGCAGCAUGUCAUCACAAAAUGAUGGUUCCCUUUGUCGACCUGCAACAAGGGUAAUUCAAAGGUCCUUCAAAGUCUGUCUCUCUUGAAGACACUAUGUUGGACAAACAUUUAGAAGAAAAACUUGAGACUCAACAACAAGAGCUUGUGACAACAAAACAAGAGCUCGUUGAAACAAAACAAGAGCUUGGUGAAGCAAAACAAGAUAUCCAAGCAUUGAAGGAGAACCAAAAGAAAUUUGAGGAACUCCUACACAAAAUAAUGGAAGGGCAGCAACUACCUCUAUAAGUAGUCCUUUUGUUUUGCUGGAAUAUGUGAAUUUUUUGUGAAAAAAAUGUGAGCUUUCAUAGUUAACAUUAAUUGAUUUUGUAGACUAUGAAUUAUCAUUGAAGCUAUUUUGGUUUUGGACUAAUAGUACUUUUGAUCAUUAAUUAUUGGCACUAAAUUUCAG
rnacentral:sRNA from 1 species